UCGGACGGGUGAGUAACGCGUGGGUAACCUGCCUCCUACAGGGGGAGUAACAGUUAGAAAUAGCUGCUAAUACCGCAUAAGCGCACGGUUCCGCAUGGAACAGUGUGAAAAACUACCGGUGGUGUGAGAUGGACCCGCGUCUGAUUAGCCAGUUGGCGGGGUGACGGCCCACCAAAGCGACGAUCAGUAGCCGGCCUGAGAGGGUGAACGGCCACAUUGGGACUGAGACACGGCCCAA
rnacentral:rRNA from 1 species